UGUCUUGAAAAAACAACAACAACAACAAAAAACCAACCAAACAAAAAAAGACUUUGGAUUUUAAAAGAAACCAUGGAUAUUUUAAAGAGACAAUUUUUGAAGUAUUGUAAAUGUAAAGACUGUGAAACUUUUAAAGUACUAUGUCUAUAUUGUGAUAUUAUUAUUAUUUUUAUACUGUCCAUAAUACUUUGUUGGUUUCCUAUUGACCUGGACCCAGCUGGGUGUGCUCAGGGCAAGAUCACUGUUCACCAUAUUCCAGGUGGGUAAUGAGAAAGCCUCAACCUAGACUCCAGCCCCUUCAGAGUGUGGAGGAAGAGCCUGCGUUUUCUGGGCCAGCACAGGACAUCCAGUCCCUGUAAAUAAGCAGGCCCGGGGAGCGAACCAUGCCUGAGAGGAACCCUGCCCAGUGCCAUAACAGCACCCCUGAGACCACUCCCAAGAUGACCCAGGACACCAGAGACCCUGGGUGCCACUAUGAGGAGCAAGGCAUAAUUGGGUUGGAGAGAUUUACUGCAACAGAGGUGGGCACAAUGAAGAGAGGCAGAACUGGAGACACAAGGAUAGUGAGGGUCAACCUGAUCUUACAGAUGCUUUAUGCAGCCGCUGUGUUUCCACCUUUCCCUGUUGUUGGACAGAGAGUCUUGAGGGCAGACCCUGCAUGUCCAAGCACUUUAAUCCUUCACUAACAUUUCCCACGUCAGCCCUUGGGAAGCAUUGGUCGGACUGGAUCUGAAUCAGCACUUGUCCAUUUGCCAAAUGGAGUUCUUGUAUACACUGCUCUGAAAUGAGCAGAGUUUAAAAAUAAAGUAAAAUAAAACCAGA
rnacentral:lncRNA from 1 species